rnacentral:rRNA from 1 species
CGCAAUGCGGGAAACGCGACGGGGGGACCCCAGUGCCGUGGCAAUGCCACGGCUUUUCCGGAGUGUAAGGAGCUCCGGGAAUAAGGGCUGGGCAAGGCCGGUGGCAGCCGCCGCGGUAAUACCGGCGGCCCGAGUGGUGGCCACUAUUAUUGGGCCUAAAGCGUCCGUAGCCGGGCCCGUAAGUCCCUGGCGAAAUCUCACGGCUCAACCGUGGGGCUCGCUGGGGAUACUGCGGGCCUUGGGACCGGGAGAGGCGGAGGGUACCCCUGGGGUAGGGGUGAAAUCCUAUAAUCCCAGGGGGACCGCCAGUGGCGAAGGCGCUCCGCUGGAACGGGUCCGACGGUGAGGGACGAAGGCCAGGGGAGCAAACCGGAUUAGAUACCCGGGUAGUCCUGGCUGUAAAGGAUGCGGGCUAGGUGUCGGGUGAGCUUCGGGCUCGCCCGGUGCCGGAGGGAAGCCGUUAAGCCCGCCGCCUGGGGAGUACGGCCGCAAGGCUGAAACUUAAAGGAAUUGGCGGGGGAGCACCACAAGGGGUGGAGCGUGCGGUUUAAUUGGAUUCAACGCCGGGAACCUCACCGGGGGCGACGGCAGGAUGAAGGCCAGGCUGAAGGUCUUGCCGGACACGCCGAGAGGAGGUGCAUGGCCGCCGUCAGCUCGUACCGUGAGGCGUCCACUUAAGUGUGGUAACGAGCGAGACCCGUGCCCCCAGUUGCCAGUCCUCCCCGCUGGGGAGGAGGCACUCUGGGGGGACCGCCGGCGAUAAGCCGGAGGAAGGAGCGGGCGACGGUAGGUCAGUAUGCCCCGAAACCCCCGGGCUACACGCGCGCUACAAUGGGCGGGACAAUGGGAUCCGACCCCGAAAGGGGAAGGAAAUCCCCUAAACCCGCCCCCAGUUCGGAUUGCGGGCUGCAACUCGCCCGCAUGAAGCUGGAAUCCCUAGUACCCGCGGUCAUCAUCGCGCG